UGCUCCGGGAAACGCUUCUCCUGGACAAAUCCGAGGGCUCCAGGCUGGAGGCUGGGCUGUAGGACCCCGGCCACGUGUGCCUGGGAGCCGGGCAAUGAGGCCAGACCUCUCCAGGACUUGGUCCCAGUCUCAGGGCCAGGGACUCGCCAACAUCCAAGGAUAAGGAGUUUGGAGCCAGACUUGAUCCUCCGCCCCACUGAGGCUGGGGACACACAAGGAGCAAAUCGGGGGCCGAAGUUCCAGCCCAGGCCAUGCCCUGCAUUCUCACACUCUUCACCCUCCGUGGCCCUUCCCGCUUGGUGCCAGAGAAUUCAGCUCCUGAUCUUGCAUCGAGUCACCCCAUUCCCUAAUGUCCCACCGGGGCUUGGCCAUCCAAGCGGACUGGGGGCUUCCUGAGGGCAGGAGUGGCAAGGGGAGGGAGGGAGGGAGGGAGGCAGGGAGACUGGCUGGGGAAAGUGGAGGCCGGAGCCACCUGAGGACAAGGAACGGGCGGAGGAGAGCCAUGAGGCUGAGAUGGGAGGAGUGGAGGCCCUGGGAACCACGGCCCUGGUGGUGCUGAAGGGCCCCCGAUCCCGAUGUCUCUGGGGUGUCACCUCUGGAGGAGGAGGUGCAGGGAGGAGGCUCGGGAGGGGGGCACAUGGGGCUUGGUGAGUCAGAUCACACUGAAUCACAUCAAAUAAACAAUCCCCAGGAAGUCCGAGGAUGAGAAGACGACUUUGGGAACAGGAGAGUCAAAGAGGAGACGGGUGGCAGGAGGAGUCCAAGUGGCAGAUUUCGGGGGAGGAGGGGGCUUGCUGCUUCCCUACCUGAUGUGGGGAGAAAAGAAGUUCCAGUGGUUUUCCAGUUCUGUCUCCAGGGACCAAAGAAAACCAAGC